AUGAUGGCGUCGCGGCACUUUCAUUGGCGUUGCAGAUGUGUACUUCUGUGAUUAGCCUCGACCUGAGGGACAACAAGCUCGGAUCAGAGGGUUUCAGGGCAGUCGCGCACGGACUGUCGAAGAAUCCACACGUGAAGAUUUUAAACCUGUCAAACAACCCUGGACCCGGUCGCGACGGGGUCGCGGCUAUCGGGCGGGUGCUUGACCCUUCUUUCCUGGCUCAGCCCGCCGUCGUGGAACUGCGCCUCGCUAACUGCAACCUUUCAGACGCCGAGGGCGCGAUGCUGCUGCAUGCGAUGAGGAGUAAUGACAGCGUCCGCGUCCUGGACCUGUCCAACAACAAUCUUGGUCUGCAGACAUCGAGAGCUAUGCGUGCCUUUGUCGAGGAUAAUCACACGUGUGCUUACUUCGACUUGAGCGGCAACAGUUUUAAC
rnacentral:lncRNA from 1 species